UACGUAGGGUGCGAGCGUUGUCCGGAAUUAUUGGGCGUAAAGAGCUCGUAGGCGGUCUGUCGCAUCGAUCGUGAAAACUUGGGGCUUAACCCUGAGCUUGCGGUCGAUACGGGCAUGACUGGAGUUCGGCAGGGGAGACUGGAAUUCCUGGUGUAGCGGUGAAAUGCGCAGAUAGUCAGGAGGAACACCGAUGGCGAAGGCAGGUCGUCCUGGGCAUUAACUGACGCUGAGGAGCGAAAGCAUGGGGAGCGAACAGG
rnacentral:rRNA from 1 species